CCUACGGGAGGCAGCAGUAGGGAAUAUUGCUCAAUGGGGGAAACCCUGAAGCAGCAACGCCGCGUGGAGGAUGAAGGUUUUCGGAUAGUAAACUCCUUUUGGUAGAGAAGAUAAUGACGGUAUCUAACGAAUAAGCACCGGCUAACUCCGUGCCGGCAGCCGCGGUAAUACGGAGGGUGCAAGCGUUACUCGGAAUUACUGAGCGUAAAGCGCGCGUAGGCGGGAUAGCAAGUCAGAUGUGAAAUCCUAUGGCUUAACCAUAGAACUGCAUUUGAAACUGUUAUUCUAGAGUAUGGGAGAGGUAGGUGGAAUUCGUGGUGUAGGGGUAAAAUCCGUAGAGAGCAAGAGGAAUACUGAUUGCGAAGGCGACCUGCUAGAACAUAACUGACGCUGAGGCGCGAAAGCGUGGGGAGCAAACAGGAUUAGAUACCCUUGUAGUC
rnacentral:rRNA from 1 species